rnacentral:lncRNA from 1 species
CUGGCGUCAUUGAACCCAAAUUGAGCCCCAAAUUUGGUGUCACUGAACCCAGAAUCUGGUGUCACUGAGCCCCAAAUUUGGCAUCACCAACCCCCAAAUUUGGUGUCAUCGAGACCCAAAUUUGGUAUCAUUGAACCCAGAUUGAGCCCCAAAUCUGGUGUCACUGAACCCAAAUUGAGCCCCAAAUUUGGUGUCACUGAGCCCAAAAUUUGGCGUCACUGGGCCCAGAAUCUGGUGUCACCGAGCCCCAAAUUUGGUGUCACUAAACCCAGAUUGAGCCCCAAAUUUGGUGUCACUGAGCCCAGAUUGAGCCCCAAAUUUGGUGUCACUGAACCCAGAUUGAGCCCCAAAUUUGGUGUAACUGAACCCAGAAUCUGGUGUCACCGAGCCCCAAAUCUGCUGUUACGGGACCAAGACUGAACCCUGAAUCUGGUGUUACCAAACCAGGACUGAACCCCAAAUCCGGUGUUAUUGAGCCCAGAAUAUGGCAUCACUGAACCCCAAAAUGUAGCAUUUGGGGAGCCCAGACCAAGCUCCAAAUCUGGUGUUAUUGAGCCCAGAAUCCGGUGUCACUGAACCCCAAAAUCUGGCAUUUGGGGAGCCCAGAAACUGGUGUCACUGAACCCCAAAAUUUGGCAUUUGGGGAGCCAGGACCAAGCCCUAAAUCCUGUGUUAUUGAGCCCAGAAUCCGGUGUCACCAAACCCCAAAAUCUGGUAUUUGGGGAGCCAGGACUGAGCCCCAAAUCUGGUGUUAUUUAGCCCAGAAUCUGGUGUCUCCGAGCCCAGACCGAGCCCCAAAUCUGGUGUUAUUUAGCCCAGAAUCUGGUGUCUCCGAGCCCAGACCGAGCCCCAAAUCUGGUGUUAUUUAGCCCAGAAUCCGGUGUCACCGAGCCCAGCCCGAGCCCCAAAUCUCCUGUUAUUUAGCCCAGAAUCCGGUGUCACCGAACCCCAAAAUUUAGCAUUUGGGGAGCCCAGACUGAGCCCCAAGUUUGGUGUCACUGAACCCCAAAUCCGGUGUUAUUUAGCCCAGAAUCUGGCAUCACUGAACCCCAAAAUCUGGCAUUUGGGGAGCCCAGAAUCCGGUGUCACCGAGCCCAGCCCGAGCCCCAAAUCUCCUGUUAUUUAGCCCAGAAUCCGGUGUCACCAAACCCCAAAAUCUGGCAUUUGGGGAGCCCAGAAUCCGGUGUCACCGAGCCCAGCCCGAGCCCCAAAUCUCCUGUUAUUUAGCCCAGAAUCCGGUGUCACCAAACCCCAAAAUCUGGCAUUUGGGGAGCCCAGAAUCCGGUGUCACCGAGCCCAGCCCGAGCCCCAAAUCUCCUGUUAUUUAGCCCAGAAUCCGGUGUCACCAAACCCCAAAAUCUGGCAUUUGGGGAGCCCAGAAUCUGGUGUCACCGAGCCCCAAAUCCGCUGUUAUUGAGCC